CCCAUGGUCAGGGAAGCGCCAUCGCCCUGGCUUUGAGGCUGGGGCCUCCGGGGAGAUUCCGGUAGGGGCUUUGAAGAGGCCGCUGUUUUUGCAAGGCCGAGACGGCGGGCCCUGCGCAGGCCGCCCUAUUCCGCGCCCUCAGGGCGUCAGUAUCCGCCUGAGGCCGGAUACCCCCUCUGGGCCCGGAUGCCCCCGCUGGCCCCGGAGCAUCCUCGGCGCUGCCCUCCCAGAGCCCCGCAGAGGCUGAGGUGGCGCGGGGGCGGCCCCGGCUCCGCGAGAAGCGGCGGCAGCGAGGGCUGGAGGACCCGGGCUACGGGGCUCCGGGGCGUCUGGCCUGGUUGGGACUGAGCCCAUCCAGGGACUGGGACUCUGGGAUUCUGGUGUAGGUGGAUCCGGGGCAGGCUCAGGACCAAGUCCCUCUCCUUCCACCAAGGAGCGCCCAGAGGCCGGCGGGAGCUCCAGGUUCACCUCCUCCUCCUCCAGGGACGACUUGAGAAGGCAUCCUGAGCCUAUGCAGAAAUGCAGAAACACUUCCAUGAUCUAAACAACCUAUGUGAAGGCCUGAAAGCCAAAGCAAGAUCCUCUUGUUACAAAGCUGUCCAACAAAAUUUUUCCAAGUAACACUGGAGGUCCAUCAGUCACUCUUCCUGGUCUGGAAAUGCCAGAAAUGUCCUCCUUGGUCCUUCUGAGAGUCAAGAUCUUUUCAAAAUCACCUCAGGAGCCACAGAACCACUCCAUCCUACCUGAAAUUGCAGGAUGACUCUUCUUUUGACCAGAAUCUCAAAAAUAUAUUCGUUGAUAGUAUUGAUUCCUGGGAGCCGCCAUUGCUUGCAAAAGAUGUGCCAGAGACUAGACAUUUUCUGUCUCCUCACUUGUCCAGGGAAGACUGAAGUUUUACUGAAACACAGCGAUGGGAAGCUGACCCUCUGAGCAGCCUCAGGAUUUUCUAAGUCUUCCAAGCAGAGUGGAAAUACUGGAAAUCCCACUUCCAACUGGAUGUCUGGAUGAACUACUGAAAGCUGCUGAGUGUCCUGCAGCAGGUGAGCUGUGGCCAGAGCCCAAGGAUGAAGGGGGCUCCCUCACUCUGUGACUGUGAAGAGGAAGCCUGAGGUGUAGCAGGCCCAGGCCCCAGAAGUAUGGAAAAAAUGAGCCUUUCAUCCCAAAGAUGCAGCCGACUUGAUUGUGGUGGAUAAGCUUUUUGAUGUGCUGCUGGAUUCCGUUUGCUAGUAUUUUAUUAAGAAUUUUUGCAUUAAUGUUCAUCAGGGAUAUUGGCCUGGAUUGAGCAGGCCAUUUCCAAUCCAGCGGAAGACCUUCUAGAAGAGAUGAUGGUGGGAGAGUGCUGACAUACUAUGUGAAGCUACUAUUUGGAGUUGGACACGAGUGCAUGUGUCCUUGUGCCACAACGGGAAUGUGAGCUGGAUGACAAAUGGAGAUUUGGACUUGUGAUAAUUGGCCUCUGUGUCAUUGUGUGGAAGACUGACUGGUCCCUUUAUUUCCUGUAGCUUGACUACAACACAAAUGAAUCCACUCAAAUGUUGGCAAGUGGAGCAGAGUCCCAGAACAGUCUGCAAUCUCUACAGGUACAGAAACACCCCCAGUUCAAGGAUCUUCACACCUGGAUUUAGGCCUACUCCUGCAACUACCCCAGGCCAGUUAUCCAGGCAGUGACUUUCAGUGCAGCUACAGUCACCUCUGGAAACCUGUGGAGACUUUAAAAAUUUCCAAAAGGUCAGGAAUUUUUGGAGACUUUUCUCAUGGCUACGUUUCCUGCAAACGUGAAUCAAUAAGCUUCUGAACUGACUUAGAAAAUGUUGCAGAGACUCUUGUGAACAGAUAGACCCUCUCCUGCCACUCAGAUAGAUGUAUCUGGGUCACACACACCUGAUUUAACAUCUCAUUAUCUCAGGCACCAAUUUGAUCUUCUACUACUUUGCAGACAUCUCUUCUGCAAACACCAGACAAAUUGAGACAAUGACCUUCCACAGGACCCAAAUCACCUCUUACUGCAGGAAAGAAGAUCCAGUGAGAAAAUUAGUCCACAAAUGGAAUGUAAAUCCAUAAACACUCUUAAGUAACAGAAUAAA
ensembl:lncRNA FAM66E family with sequence similarity 66 member E